rnacentral:rRNA from 1 species
GCGGAGGAAAAGAAACUAACAAGGAUUCCCUCAGUAACGGCGAGUGAAGCGGGAAGAGCUCAAAUUUAAAAUCUGGUUUACUUGUAAAUCCGAGUUGUAGUCUGAAGAAACGUUUUCCAUAAGCACUGAGGCAAAAGUCCCUUGGAACAGGGCAUCAUAGAGGGUGAGAAUCCCGUCCAUGGUCUCAAGUUGUUUAUUUUGUGAUACGUUUUCAAAGAGUCAGGUUGUUUGGGAAUGCAGCCUAAAAUGGGUGGUAAAUUUCAUCUAAAGCUAAAUAUUGGCGAGAGACCGAUAGCGAACAAGUACCGUGAGGGAAAGAUGAAAAGAACUUUGAAAAGAGAGUUAAACAGUACGUGAAAUUGUUGAAAGGGAACCGUUUGAAGCCAGUCUUACUUGCUCGUGAUCAAUUUUUGCUUCGGCAUGAAUGCACUCUCGGGUAUGGUAGGCCAACGACAGUUUGGAAUGCGAGAAAAAAAUAGGGGAAAUGUGGCCUUCGGGUGUUAUAGUUCUCUAUAAAAUAUCGUGUUCUGGACUGAGGAUCGCAGCAAAAAUGUGGGCAGAUGGAUUUCUGUGGUGACUGUCGGUUAGGACAACUUGUUGACCUAGUCUUCCUUAGCCUCACUAUUUAUCUUGCUUCUAAUUUGCUUAGGUCGUUGGCAUAAUGGCUUUAAAUGAC